UUCUAUGAUGAUUUCUUUAUUGCUGUUAUUUCUUAAUACACUUUGAAGAAAAAUUCUUUUCACCUUGGAGAACUGAUGC
rnacentral:snoRNA from 1 species